rnacentral:tRNA from 1 species
GGGCGCAUAGCUCAGUUGGUAGAGCACUUGGCUCUUAACCAAAUGGUCGGAGGUUCGAGUCCUCCUGCGCCCACCA